UAGGGAAUCUUCGGCAAUGGACGAAAGUCUGACCGAGCAACGCCGCGUGAGUGAAGAAGGUUUUCGGAUCGUAAAACUCUGUUGUUAGAGAAGAACAAGGACGUUAGUAACUGAACGUCCCCUGACGGUAUCUAACCAGAAAGCCACGGCUAACUACGUGCCAGCAGCCGCGGUAGUACGUAGGUGGCAAGCGUUGUCCGGAUUUAUUGGGCGUAAAGCGAGCGCAGGCGGUUUCUUAAGUCUGAUGUGAAAGCCCCCGGCUCAACCGGGGAGGGUCAUUGGAAACUGGGAGACUUGAGUGCAGAAGAGGAGAGUGGAAUUCCAUGUGUAGCGGUGAAAUGCGUAGAUAUAUGGAGGAACACCAGUGGCGAAGGCGGCUCUCUGGUCUGUAACUGACGCUGAGGCUCGAAAGCGUGGGGAGCAAACAGG
rnacentral:rRNA from 1 species